GCCAUUUUCCAUAGCUUUGGAACGUGCAAGGCUUCUUCGGUCCCACUGGCUUGUUCUGCUGUUCUCUGGAGCCCCUGCUGAUUAACAGCCACGCAGGAAAGACAAUGGAAGGCUUGUAGCCAUAAAUACUAAACAGAGGAGCUCAGUGGCUUCACAAAGGAGACACAUACCAUUCAUUAUCUUCACCUCGUCUUUUGGAAAACCGGAGGAAAAAUGGCGCGCCACGUUGUUCAAGGCCACACAGAGCACAUCCGUGACAUGCAGGACAACAAUCAGGCAGCGGGACAUUGGCAGUACUUUUAACGACUAUGGGAACGUGGACCUAGAUGGCCAGUGCAGAAAACCGUGAUCAGGAGAGAGGUGGAGACUACUUUGUCCUAUCACAAAACAAACAUCACUCAGACGUUCCCGUUUAACAGCUUGUCUUCAUGCAUUAAAACAAGCCUGGAAACCAUGACUGAUAUAAUUUAGAGUAAUUAAUUAGUUGCUGCUCAAUCCUUUAAACAAAUGCGCUAACAAAGCCCUCUGAGCUCCACCGAGAUCAAAAGCCGGCUUGUGCACAAGGCUCACCCUCCCCCUUGGUAGGCAGUCCUUUUGAAAGGAAGUGAUUAUGUGACAAAUUAUUCUUUGGGGGUACAACUGCCGGCUGUGCUGCAUGGCUUUGGUGAGAUCUGAGCCCUUCACCCCUCAUUAGUGAUCCAGAGAAGUCACUGGUUUAGGUUCUCCCUGUUGAGCCUAGGGCAGAUUCUUGCAAUAAAGGCAACAGGAUUUGUUCCAUCUCUAGUCAUACAUAGUAAAAUCAAAUACCCGAUCCAUAUGCAUGACCUCUUGAUUAUGACUCUCAAGGCAUAUCACUCAAUUUUCCCAACGUUUGUCUAAACUCACCAACGCUUUUCCCAUUUACCACAUCUCAAUUAAAGAGCAACAAAGCAGAAGAAGGAUGAUUUGAGACUAUUUAUUAUCACAUGGAGACCCAAAUGUGCCAUGCAUGCUGACACUACAAAGCAUGUUUUUGGUACUAUUUAAAAACUCAAAACAUUUUCAGUCAGAAACAUCAAUUAUGUCCCUUUAACUCAGCUACCAGUCGAACUGGUAGAAGAAGAAUCGGGGUGUGCACAAUUGUGUAUCUGAUGUUAAGUAACAAAUCCAAGUUAUGUCUGCAAUCCAGAAGACGACCUAAAAAAUCACUAACACAGUCAAAUAAAUUCGUUUACUACU
rnacentral:lncRNA from 7 species